GGGCCUGAAUGAUAACAACCGAGUCGAUGUCGUCGAUCAAAAAGACUUCCUGUGUCUGAAAGAUAUAGAAGUCCCUCCGCAACGAGAGCUGCUGAAGGAGCAGAACCUGUACGAUGCCGGACUUACUUUGGCACCUUCCAUUGGUAUAGUAUAAUGUGCUUCGACCUCUUUUUUACUUGACUUCAAAACUUUAUAGCUAAGUCAUUGUCAUCUUUUUCGUAGGCAUAAGACUGUCAGCGGAUAAGAUUCAGUGGAGUGCCAUAAGGAAGAGGCCUGUCGGUAUGGAUCCAUCUCGGGGUCCAAAAAAGGCCCGACCCGACACACCCUCGGUGGGAACUUUAGAAGCCCGCGCAAAUCCUGUCGUUGCACUGCUGACCCCAAAAGUUCCACCAAUAGUCAAAGCUUCUUCGGGCAUUCAAGACAAC
rnacentral:lncRNA from 1 species